GUAUUAGUAGCUCAGUCUCAGAGCGUUGGCCUUGUAAGCCAAAUGUCGAAGGUUAGACUCCUUCCUAAUGCU
rnacentral:tRNA from 1 species